AGGGAAUGCAGAACAUUAGGGAAUGCAGAAAGAAAUUAAUCCAUGGGCUCCAAGGAGCUCAGUAUAGUCGGUGAGAGAUUCAGGUACAAAUAAUUCAAAUAAAAGGAAGACUCUGAAAACACCAUGAUAGAUACACACACACAAAGCCUGGUAGCAUAUUUAGUGAUGUUGUCAGCAUUUUUACACUUGUUGAAAUAUGUGAUUGUCAUAUCUCUUAAUUUUAUUUAUGAAUUAAGAAGGCAGGAGGCUUAGAGAAUCUUCCCCCAGUGGAAGAUGGUUGCAAAAUAUAUAGAAUUUAUAUCUCUGCAUUCUUAUGUGACACAUUUGGGUUUUUCUUAGACAAAAUUGUAUUUGCCAUAGUUCUGAUUAACAUGUAGCAGACUGAAAUAUGUUGAAAUAUUCAAAGACUGAAGAACUGGAAAGCUCCCAUAUGCACUCACACGGCCACUCACCGUAAAGGUGAUUACUGAGAAAUAUGAGGGGGCAGAUGAGAGCGCGGGGCCUUUGUCUCCAAACCAAUAUGACGGAACAACAGUAACUUAUGGGGAGUGGGGUCAGUGAGGAAGGAAGGCUGAAUGUCUGGUGUCAUCAGAGAAGGUAAAUGGAAGACUCACAAAUGGGAGGGAGGAACAGGCCACAUUAACUCUAGGGGGGCUAGACGAUACCAUGGGGUCAGUGGGUCCAUGGAAGAACAUGACCAUGCUGGUCUCAUGGUAGUAAGUCCACCAGAAGGGCAUAUAGGCUUAAGCCAGACAGGUGUCCGGUUUGGGGGAAAGAAUAUUUGAGCUCAAAUGCAGAGAAAAAAGUAGACAUUUUUAACAACUGGAUACACCAACACAGCACAGCAACAGAAGAAACAAUCAUUCUUCAAAGGGAAAUUCUGAUUAUAGAAUUGCAAAACCCUGAAAGAUCAUUGAGAAAGGAGAAAGAGAGAGAACAUAUAUCCCCAGAGGUAUGUGGUGACAAAAUAUGGACUUCUUUAAUAAACUUGGUUUAAAAGACAGCAUAUAAAAUAAACUGAGGUGUAUAUGAGGAGCACGACCCAUCAUAACUGCAUAGGUGCCUAAAACCUCUUGACAACUGUAAGCUUCAAAUAAGCCAAAGACAGUAGAAAUAGGUUUGUCCAGGCAAUUGUGCGCAGACCUGCUGUCCAGCAGACGGUUCCCUGGUAAAAGAUGACAGAGUAAACUCAGAACCACGCAGGCUCAGGUUACCUCCAUUUUUAUGACCAAAGAAAAUAAUCAUCACCUCAUAAAAGGGUUGAAAAAUAUAAAUAGGAGAAAAUUGGAGUCCAAGAUAGUCGAGAAGAUGAUAAAAGUGCAUCCUAUUGAUUUAAGCGAGUUCACAUCUACAGGACUAGAUGAAUUAUCUCUCACAGAGGACACUGAGAACAUUGUGAUUACAAUCUCAGCAACAAUUUCUGUAAUUUUUGAGGCAUCAUGGAGAAGAGACAUGUGAGUGGAUAAGAGAUGCACAAGGCCAACAUUUUUGAAAGAGACUGUAAGUUCUGGAAAUCAAAGACCAUGAAGAUGAACUUAAAUCUUAGUAAAACUCUGAACAGAUCUAUCCAUUGGUCACCAUUUCUCCAUCCAUCUCUCCAUCCAUAAAUUUCUAUUCAUUUGGAAAAUAUUGACUGAAUACCUACUGUGUGCUGGGCACUGGGGGUACACUAGAAAACAAAAUGUAAAUAGCCCGGUUCUAUUAGGACUUAGAUUCAAAGGUAGGGGGUGGGGCAGUUAUAAAAGGACUCUGUAAAUUCUAUGAGGAUAAUAGUGAGAUCCUUCAAAGGCUAAUGUCAAAAUCAAGGAAGAAGGACAGCUGGAUUGGUUCACAACCCCUGUGUUACUCAGGACUUUUUCCAUUGUAAAUGCCAGAAACUCAAUUAAAAUUGGUCAAGGCAAAAGGGUGUGUUGUGGUUUGUGUAUGUGAGAAGUCUAUGAACAGUCCUGGCCUCCAGACUGGCUGGGCAUUUACAUUCACAUACCGCCUAUCACUAGGACUUUCUCUUCUCUUCAUCUCUCUGCUUGGCUUUCUUCUACGUUGGUUCCAUUCUCUUCACUUUUUGUUUUUUUUUGGGGGGGGGGGUUGUUUGUGUGUGUGUUUGUUUGUUUUGAUUUGUUUUGUUUUGACAGUCAAAAUAGCUUCCUGUAUUUCCAGGCCCAAGCUCUAUCUCCACAGCCUUUGCAAGGGAGAGAGGAUCUAUUCCCCCCCCAGAAUAAAGUUCACUUUUAUCAACAUGGGUCAUGUGUAUCUCCAUGAAUCAGCUCCAUGGCUAAAGGAGACCAAAUAAACUGAUGGUACUGGCCUGGUUCAAGGUCAGAUGUCACCUCAUGCACCAGGACAGAGUCAAUUUGUCAUUCAGAUGGACUACGGCUCUGUGAGAGUAGAGAGGGAAAGCAUUCAUACCAUUAAAUAUGAUGAUAGAUUCAGGUUUUUUUGUAUAUGUACUUUAUCAUGUUAAGGAAGUUCCUUUUCUACUGCAAGUUUAUUGAGAGUUUUUAUCAUGAAUUAAUGUUUGGAUUUUAUCAAAUGCUUUUUCUGCAUUUAUGUAUUACUUUGGUGAUCUGUGUCUUCUCCCCCCACCACCUUUUUUUUCUUGGCCAGUCUAGCUAAAAGUUUGUCAAUCUUGAUCUUUUGAUUUUCUCCAUUUCUUUUUAGAAAUUUAUUUAUAUAUUUUGACAGGGAGAAAGAGAGAGCCAAUCAGGGGCAGAGAGAGAUGGAGAGAGAGAAUUCCAAGCAGGCUCCACACUGUCAGUGCAGAGCCCAACAUAGGGCUCAAGUCCACAAAGUGCAAGAUCAUGAACUGGGCCAAAAUCAAGAGUCGGACGCUUAACCAACUGAGCCGCCCAGGUGCCCUGCCUCCAUUGCUUUUCCACCUCACACUUUACAGAGCCCACUGGCAAGCUAAAUUUUAUCUGGCUAGACAACUAUGUCAUAUAAGGAACUAGGACAGGCAGGCAAGGAAGGCACAUGAAAAUGGAAUUCAAAUCUCUGCCCUUCAUUACAGAAGAGGAAAUGAGAAAAGCAUUUCACCAUCCAGAAGUGGAACUCAGAUCAGCAUAUACAACUUGCAGACAAGCAAAGGUGGGCAAUGUCCCCACCAUACCUAGAACACAAGCCCCAGAUCAUACAGGUUUGGAUCGAAUUCCGGGCCUUACCCUCUGCUAACUAUGUAUUAGAUAAUGCAUGCUGCUAUAACAGAUAAGCCUCCAAAACCCAGCAGCUUACUGACUAGAAGUUUAUUUCUUUUUUUUUUAUUAAAAAAAAUUUUUUUUUAUCGUUUAUUUAUUUUUGAGACAGAGAGACAGAGCAUGAACGGGGGAGGAUCAGAGAGAGAGGGAGACACAGAAUCGGAAGCAGGCUCCAGGCUCUGAGCCAUCAGCCCAGAGCCUGACGCAGGGCUCGAACUCACAGACCGCGAGAUCGCGAGAUCGUGACCUGAGCUGAAGUCGGAUGCUCAACCGACUGAGCCACCCAGGCGCCCCACUAGAAGUUUAUUUCUUGCUCUCAAGAGAACUGCCCAUGAAAUGUUUUAUGAUUCAGACCUGGUAGCAGGGAACACCACUCCUGUGCAGAGGGACCUCACCUAAGAGAGGCUGGAAAGUUCGUCCAGCCACGUGCCCGAAAACAUCUCUUUGGUGAAUCACUAGUCAGUUUGUGCCACGCUCUAUAAUUUGGAGUUUAUCUUCAUGAGCUUUUGUUUCCUUAUAUGUAAAAAGAGGAUAAUAAUGUCUGUCCCAUGAGCAUCCCCCAUGCUCCUCAGUGUCUGGCACAAGGUGGGAGCUAAUGAACAUUUGUUACAUGCGUGAAUGAAUCGGCAGGUGGAUAAAGUUGGUGUAAAGACUGGCAUAUGCAGCACACUUCAGAUCAUGUCUGAUUUACAGCAAGGGUUCAGUCCAUGACUGUAGUUGCUGAUGCUGUUGUUCUUGACACUUUAUAAAGGGAUGAAGCUGGACAAGAACACUGAAGAGCUAAGUCUCUCUCUGGAAGCUUUCCGGCAAAAGCCAACUCUCCUGCGUGUCAUAGAGUGGAGUCCCACCCUGGCAUGUCCCUUGAGUCUAUGUGAUCUAACGGGACAUCACACACACCACAGAUUCACUUGCUCCCUUCAGACUCAGUUUCCAAGUUUUAAAAACCUACUUAUCACACUAGCCACGGUGAUUUAUUGAGAUAAACAUAUGGGGAACUCUGGGGAAAAAGCCUGGAGCAUGGAGAGGGUAGGUGCUUAAUAAAUAUUUGGGCUUCCACCCCCCUUUUACUUUGCUUCUCUGUUGCUUCUAUGACAUAGACAACAGUCUUUAUUAAUUGCAUUGGAAAUGAUUUGUUGUAAUUAAAGAUCAAGAGAAAAAUCACGGGUUGGAGACUGGAAUUGUAGUUCUGCAGUUCCAACCAUUCUUCCUUGCAAGUGAUCACAGAGUCCCUUAAUCUGGGCCCCAAAGGCAGUGGUUUUUGUUCCGUAGACUUGAGGUAUCUGGCAGCUGGCUUCUCAGAACCUCUAAGAACUGUUAAUAGGUAAAUAAAUCAUGAAUCAGAGAUUCUUAUAUUGAACCAAAGUUGAUGGAGGGCUAAAUAAGUCAUUUCCUAGGGAAACUAGUUAUCUACAAUGUUUCUGUAAGAUGAUGAUCACGUUUAGCGAAACAGAAGGUAAUGAUGAAGGACUUACCUUCUACAUGGUUGCUUUAGGACAAAAUGCAGAGUUGCUGACUCCCUCGUUCCGAAACAACGUAAAACCCCACACCAUCCCCUCCACCCAGUGUAUCAAAGUCACCAUUAUUUAAAAACAAAAACAAGUUAGGGCACCUGGAUGGCUCAGUCAGUUAAGCAUCCAACUUCGGCCCAGGGCAUGAUGUCAUGGUUUGUGAGUUCAAGCUCCGCGUUGGAUUCUGUGCUGACAGCUCUGAGCCUGGAGCCUGCUUUGGAUUCUGUGUCUUCCUGUCCCUCUGCCACUCCCUGGCUCAUGUUCUCUCUCUCUCUUUCUCUCUCUCUCUCUCUCUCUGCCUCUCAAAUAAAUAAAUAAAUAAAUAAAUAAAUAAAUAAGUAAGUAAGUAAUUUAGAAUUAGGAUACAAUCCAUCUAGCAAUUGAGUGGUUCCAGGGGGGAACAAUCAAAACAGUAUUUAUUCAGGUGGCAGCCGCGGUGGUGGUAGUAUGUUGGCUUUUUCUCAGCUGCUGUGCAUUUCGCUGUGAUUUUCACUUCUUCAAUACCACUUCAGUAGUUGGAGCCAUUACGUCCGAUCCUGUGUUGUCAAUGGGGUCCUGAGGUUAUUCCAGCACCUUAAGAAAAGCCGCCAUCUGCCUACUUUUAGAGCUUUUAACAUAAACCCGGAGAACACCGGGAAAGCGGGUGAGUUACCGUUAUCAAUAUGGAAUGUGAGGUUUCCUGUACAAUAGCACCACCUCUUUUAAGUCACCGUGGCCAGUGCUUUGCAGAAUGCAUAAUGAUAUAAUAAAUAAUGUGUGUGCCGAGUGAAAGCUUUGAGUAAUGGAACUAGCUAACAUUUAGAAUUUUAUUAGGGACGAACUGUCUCAGAUGUUCUUAGUGCUGUUAUUACCCCCUCGUUAAAGCUGGUAAUUUUUGUUUUUAAAGCACUUUGGAGACACUCAUUGAUACAUGUCUGAAAAAAAAAGAGAUAUUCCUUUUUUUUUUUUACUUAAAAAACAGUUCUCAGGAGACUUUAGCACCAUGUAAGAAUAAUACUCUGAUUGCUCAAGUGGGUGGAUUGUGCAGUCUCUAUUUUUCAUUCUUUAAUCAUCUUAAGAGAUCCUAGCUUUCUUCACCAUGAAGUGCAGACGGGUGCUGUAUGAUUCUCCUUGUCGAGAGGAUGAGGGAGGGCAGAGCUCACCAGAGACCCUGAUCCUCCUGGGUGCUGCUUCUGUCUGCUCUCAGUAAUACCCAACAGCUCCUGAGCUCCUUAUCAAAGAGAGAAGAGCUAACAUACAAUUUUUAAAAAGGCCCAGUGCAACUGUGACCACCCAGUACCCACACCGGUGUUUAAAGGGGAGCAUUUGCUCCCUGUUCCUGCAAAUAAUUGCCAGAUGGGAGUGUAGACCCAUUGUUGCUUGAUGCACCCAUUUAUCAGUGAGAGCUGGAAAUAAACCGUGCAUGGUGUGUGUUCAAGGUAGGAAGAAGGAAAAAAGGCAGUGCCACUCUUUAAUCAGGCAAGCCGACACUGGCCAUGGAAAUGCCUGACAGAGUUCUGCCUAAGUCUCACUGAGGAGGACAGAUCAGGUGGUCACCCUACCUGCACCCUAGGCUCGGAAAGUAUUUACCCCCUCAGCUGUCGUGGAAGCCAGGCCAGGCAGAAGGGAGUUAGGAAUGGGUGUUGGGCCAGCUAGCCUUAACUGCCUGCCAACAAGUACACAUUUUAUUUAAAUAUUGGCUCUAUAUUAAGGGAAACAAAACAUGUCAACGAGCCAGAUAUGGCCCGCAGGCCUUGAGUCUAUAACCUCUACAUGAGACAAACCAAUGUCUGUCCUUGGUAUCUCUCUGCCUGUCACUUCAAUCCUGUAAUUUCCAGAUUCAUUGUCUCCAAGCUCUUUACCACCAAGGACUUGUCUUACUUUUUUUUUUUUUUUCCCCUGUUUUCUCCCUGGAAUCCAUCUGUUGGAACAUUCUGUCUACAAACUCCUUUUGUUAGGUAAUAAUGAGUUUUCUCAUUUUAAAAAAUUCAACAAAGACUUGCAGAACUGCCAACCAGAGCCUCUGAUCGACACAGGAUAACCAGCAGGAGAGUUGGUAGAAUUCCAGACAACAAUAAAAAAAUAAAUAAAUAAAUGAAAAGACAUUUUAAUUAGACUGUGCAACUUUAUCUUGGGUAAAUAGAUACAUUCCACUGUGACAGGGGUUGCUAACUUUUUCUUUGAAGGAUUGGAUAAUAAAUAUUAGAGGCUUUGAAGGCCAUAUGGUCUGUGGUGCAACUCUUCAACUCCAUGCCAUUGUAGUACAAACACAGCCAUGGACAAUAUGUAAAUGAGUGGGUGUGGCUGUGUGCCAAUAAACCUUUCUUUUUUAUAGAAAGCCUGUGGGUCAGAUUUGGCCAGCGAACCAUAGUUUUCUGACCCUUUCAGGAUGCCUUUAAAGGUAUUAAACUGUUUUCACACCCCACUUCCUACUAACUUUAGGGGUCCUUAUUGGGAACACUUAUUUGGAUAAUAAAACUUGCCCCAAACCACUCUCAGCCUGUUCUGACUUGCACUUUGGUUCUCAACACUAUUCUUAGAAAUGAUGUCCCCACAUUCUUCCCUGUACCAUAAAGCUUAUCCUUGGCUUUGGGCUUGACUCUUUCUGCAGAAGUCUAGGUUACUAGUGAAGGCAACAAUCACUAGAUCACUAGAUGGAGGCCAAAUCUCUUAGCUCUUUAGGCACAUGAGUUUUGGAGACUAAGCUAGGUAAGAAUUCCAACUCUGCUGCUCUCCAUAUUUGUAGCUAUAGUCAAUUCGACCUCUCUGAAAUCUGAGGGAUGGGCAGGACGACUCCAACCAAACCUGAGUUCUCAUCUUAGCUUUGUUGGUGAAGGGUUGUCACCCAUCCACUAAUGACUACGAUGUACUCUGCUAUGCUUUUAUACCAGUGUCUAGUUAUAUUUGUGUAGCAAACAACUACCAAUGUAGUGGCUUAAAGCAAUAACACUCAUUUAUUUUACUCAUGAAUAUGCAAUUUGGGAGGGUCGAUGGAGACUGUUCAUCUCUGUUUUUCACCGUGUCAGCUGCAGCAGCUUGGAGGCUGGAGUCACUCAACAACCAGAAGCUUGAGUCAUUUAAGAUUUGUUCCUUAAUGUGUCUGGGGGUUGGUUGAUGCUGGCUCUUGGCCAGAACGCCCACAUGUGGCUGCAUGGGCUUCCUUAUAGUAUGGUGGCUGGUGCCAACAGGGAGCAUCUCAAGAGCAAGGUAGAUGGAAGUACCAUAUUUUACAGUGGUUGGGGCAGUGAAAAGUUCCACUGAGGUUCAAGGGGAUGCAAAGACAAGAGGCACGUCACUGUAAUUCACGUUAUAUGAAGAGCAUUAUAGAUGCGAUAUAUGGUGGCAGCACUUUUGGGGAAAUUCAGUCUUCCACAGAAAGUAUAACUUGAACUAUUUUCAGCCAAUGUUCUACCAUCUUCAUAAAGCCUCUGAGUUGAAAUCAUAUAAGGAUUCCUCAUAUGAGUAGACACUGCCUGCCUAACAGUCAAGAUUUGGUGUUCAGAUGACCAAAAACAGGUAAGGAGUCUUCAAAUAUGGUCUUCCCUCUUCCAGUAAUUUUUCCUUCUUCUUUCUCUGGGAAAUUCCCAUUUAUAUUUUAAAUUUCAGCUUAGAAUUUAUCCCUUAGUGUUUUCCCUCCUAGGCCUGAUAUUUUCCCCAUCAAAUCUCUUACCAUACUGUACUUCAACUUCCUGGUUAUAUCUCUGGUUCCUGUCUAGACUCUGAGUGAUAAUACAGAAGAGACCGUGCCUCGGUUACUCACCAUUCAGUUCUCAGCACAGACACACUCUCUAGCACACAACAGAGGACCAAUGAAUGAGGGAUCAGUGCUAAUGACGUUUCUUUACAUUUCUGUAUGCAAUAAUGAGUCACUGAACAUCAAGAGAACUAAUUGAUUCUUCAUAAACAACGUUUGAGCCCUUUCAAAAGAGUGGUUAUUGUUUGUACAUAUGGGGGCUGUGAGAUAAAAUUGCUGAUAAGCUCAUAGUCUAGUUAUGGAGGCAUGUGGUUCUAACAAUCAUUUACAUUUAUCCAUCCUUAAUACAUACAGGGGCACUAAGCAGUUUUAUUGUGCCACUAAGGAUUAUUAAUUUAAUCCUUGCAGCAGCCCUUUGAGGUUAGUCCUAAAAUUGAUAGCAUUUUGUAGAUAGAAAGAAAUAAAAUCAUGGUUAGUAAAUGGUAGAACCAAGAUUCAAUCUGGGUGUAGAUAAUGGAUUUCUUCCACAGCAUAGACAAUGUAAAAUGCAGUGCUCAGAGUAAAGUGACAGAGGUGGCAUGGGGAACAGUGGAAGGUGCAAAGGAAGGAAUGAGCAGUUUUAUUUAGGGGUGGGGUUAGGAGAGUCUCUGGAGCAAAUGGGUGGAAGGCUGGGGUGUGGCCAGCUCUCAUGGAAUUUUCUGUAAAAGAAGACAGGAAUAUGGGAACCCUGUAGCAACACCAGGCAGCUUAUCAAUGCACCAAAGAAGCUCUAUGGGAAAGAAUGGGAAGGUAUGGGCUGCUGGCUUAGUAUAUCCUUGGAACUCACAGGGACCCCAAGAUCUGGGAGCAUGGUCCCAGAGAAGCUGAUAAGAGCCAAGAAAGCAGAGACCUGGGAGAAAUGCAAACAUGUCUUAUUGGGUGCUCACAGGAAUUAUGGUUGCCUAGGACCACAACUAUGGUGUGGCGGUAGCUUCCAAAGAAAGCCAAAGGAGGAAGAUGAAGGGAUGAGCUAAAUCACAAAGCAAGGGGCUGUUGGCAGUCCCCACAGAGACAGGGUAGAUGCUUUCAAAACUACACCCUUAGUUUCAAUGUUGUGUUGCUUUUCUACUUAGUUUACCCCUCAUCAGGACAGGACAAUUCAGAGCUUCUCCGACUCUGCUUAUUUCUAAAGUUAGGUGCCAGCACUACAUAGAUUUUGUUUCUUUUCAAACCAAAAUUAUUCUUUCAUUUUCCCUCUUUCUAGGUGUCUUAGUUUCUGUAAUUAUAAAUGCUGUAUAUGCUCUUUGAAAAAAAAAAUAGUAAGGAAGUGAAAAAAUUAAAACCUGAAAGUUUCUACUCUGUCACUUCCAUUGUACCAGAAAAGGGGUAACCACUAUAAGUAAUUUGGUAUGUUUCCUUCUAGAUGUUUAUCAAGCUGUAUACAAGCAGAUACAAAAAUAUUUUUUCCAUGUGAUCAUACCAUUUAUACUGUUAGUACUGGUCUGCCAUUUUCCCAUUUUCUCUUGUGUGUCUGUCAGGGAGGGGGGCGAGGUGGGAGGGAGGGAGAUCUGCCUAAGGUUUUUGAUGGUUUGAUGAGUGGCCACUUCCCUAACUGAUGCGCAUCGAGGUUGCAUCUAGUUUUUCACUCUUAUAAGUGUUGCAAAAUGGCGUCUUCACACAGACCCCUUGAAUGUAGGAUUGAAUUCUAGAAAUGGUAUCACUGCAUUGAAGAUGGGCCCAUUUAAAAUUUUGACAGAUAAUACCAAAUUGCCUUCCCAAAGGUCUUACCAAUUCAUCCUGCCACUGAGAGCGUUUAAAAGUGUUCUUGUCCCCACAACCUCACCAGCUCUGGAAACUAUCAACAUGGAAUAUUGUUAUUUUCAUUUGCAUUCAUCAUAAUACCUUGUCUUGAGAAUUAGAUGUUUCCUACAUAAAUAAAAACUGUCCAAGAGGAGAGUUUUAUAGGUCCUUUAAAAACUCCUCAGGUUUCAGUAAUUCACAGAUUUGAAUGGUCCAACUCCUUUAUUAUUUUUAAAUCCUGAAGUAAUGGAAGAUUUAUAAAGAGCUUACACUUUUUAUUAUAUCUGACAUUUACUUGGAAAUCACUGGAAUGGUUGGUGAUUGGGAUGAACACUGUGUUACUCAGAUUAACUGAAACCCUUUGUCUUCUCUUUUUUUUUUUAACUUUUUAUGUUUAUUCGUUUUUGAAAGACAGAGACAGAGCACAAGCAGGGGUGGGGCAGAGAGAGAGCGGGACACAGAAUCCAAAGCAGGCUCCAGGCUCUGAGCUGUCAGCACUGAGCCGGAUGUGGGGCUCAAACUCACAGACCAUGAGAUCAUGACCUGAGCUGAAGUUGGACGUUUAACCGACUGAGCCACCCAGGCAUCCCCUUUGUCUUCUUUUGUGUCCACUCUUCUAUUUAUUAAUCAAGCCUCUCUGUGUUUUUCAUUUAUUUGAUUUUUGUUUUUAAAGUUUUAUUUAUUUAUUUUGAGAGAGAGAAAUAGUGUGAGUAGGGGAGGGGCAGAGAGAGAGAGGGAGAGAGAGAAUCCCAAGCAGGCUCCACGCUGUCAGCGCAGAGCCUGAUACGGGGCUCGAACCCACGAACCAUGAGAUCAUGAUCUGAGCCAAAACCAAGAGUCGGACUCUUAAUGGGCUGAACCACCCAGGUGCCCCUAAAGCCUCUAUUUUUCUGACAUUGGAAUGCAAAGAGUUCUCUCACAAUAUUGGUCUGGGUUAAAUAUUACCAAAAUAGAUAGCGUCAUGUUUGAUCAGUGCUUGCAAGGCACUUGCUCUCUCAGAGAUUUCUGAGCUUUAGUGGUAUGGAUGGUGUUCAUCAUGCAUUUUUGGAACCAUCAUGUGUAUUUUUACAAUUAUUGGAUCACCUUCAAGAAAUGUUUAUGUUAUAAUUUGAAUCAGGUUGACGCUAUGUUUCCAACCAUUUUCCUGAAGUAUACAUAAAGUGUAGAAGUCACAAAUCUGCAGCUAGAUGAGUGUUUACAAACAGAACACACACAUGUAACCAGAACCCAGAGGAAUAGCAGGGCCAGCCCCUGGAAGCCCCUGUGCCCUCCCAGCCACUGUUCCAGAAGGCUAACAGUCUUCUGACUGUCAACAGUAUGGAUUAGUUUGCCUGUUCAGAACUUGAUGUAAAUGUAGUCAUACAGCAUUCUGUCUUUUGUGUCUGGCUGGCACCCUAUCUUUUUAAAUACUGUAAUAGCUCGAUAGCUAACAUUUAACACAUGCCAGGCACUUUGUGAGCACUUUAUAUGCAUUGUAUUAAACACAGGUGUGUUAAAUAUGAGUCACAUUUGGGUGUUUUCCAUUUUGAAGUGGCUCUAUAGCUGGUACAGGGGAUGUCACAGAUACAGAUUUCCUUCUCAUGCGUCCGAUGUAUGUACUUUUUAACAAAUGAUUUAUUAAAAUUAGGAACCUCUUCAGAGCCAUAGUUUCACAAAGAGCUCCCCAACUACUCUCUUUGCGGGUAGGAGUUUGUAAUUAUCCUUUAAUAAACAUGUAACUGUGUUCUUAGGAUUCUGAGCAGUUAUGCCAUCAAAUAUAUCAUUUUCAAUUGAGCACUUAAAAUUAAUGCUAUGGAGCUUUGGAGAUGCCUACAUAAAUCAAUGUCCAAAUUCACCCUAGGUAAGAAGGGCAGUGAGGAUAAAACACCCCCCCCCCCUUCCAUUUCCUUUUCAGGAAAUGAUGACCUAUCAGGGAGGACAUAAAUCACUCCUGUUCCCAAAUUAGAUUAAAAUUCUGUGGCUUAAAGCUUGCCUUUACCUGAAGCCUAUAAUAUUAGGCCUCUGGCUUUGUCGUUCCCCCCAGAUACAAGUCUUGCUGGUUCUCAGAAAACAGUGCUGUGUCUAUUAACAAAGAGGCUGAAUGCUCUACCAAAGAGAAUUCCAAACAAAGAAGGCCUCAUUUGCUCCUCUGAAAGGUCCCCUGGGGAAUAAUCUUAGAUUCUUGUGAUUAGGUAAUUAUCCGUGUGAUUCUGCCUGGGAAACCUGUUUCUGGCUCGCUUAUACUUAGGUUGUCCUCGCCUCCUGCACUAGAAGGGGUACCUAGCCUCAUUUAUCUCGCUCCCCCCUAUAGCAUCUUCUCAUGAUGCAAUUGAAGGUAACUAGGAAAUCAUAUUAAUAAUCUGCUUUGAAACCAUGUCUAAUAACAAAAGAAAAAAAAAAUGGUUGUAGUCUUUGGUAAAUGUGGAGAAUUCGACUUUCCAGUGCUAAACACAGACAUCUGCUCUGGGAAAGAUUGGAACAUGCACUCCACCUUCCACCUUGCAAAAUGCCUCAGUGGUUCAGCCCUUGAUGCUCUGGGCAUGAACCGAAGUCAGGCAGUCUGGUGAACAAUGUGGACACGACAACUGGAUAUCAAGGGUUUCUUUGGUUGUAGGAGUUAAGGUGCCUUAGAAGUUCCGUGGGACAGGGGCCUGUCCUUCACCUGCUCUACACCUAGCGUGGAGUCGGGCCAUGAGUGGAUGUUCAGACAGUGUCUGCUGAAUAUAAAGAGUCCGCGGUCCAGGCUGCUGCCACAUUCUUUCUUUUUUUUUUUUUAAUGUUUAUUUAUUUUUGACACAGAGAGAGACAGAGCAUGAGAGGGACAGGGGCAGAGAGAGAGAGGGAGACACAGAAUCCAAAGCAGGCUCCAGACUCUGAGCUGUCAGCACAGAGCCCGACGCGGGGCUCGACCUCCCAGACUGCGAGGCCAUGACCUGAGCCGAAGUUGAACGCUCAACUGACUGAGCCACCCAGGCGCCCCUUGCCACAUUCUGUGCUUACAUAUAUAUAUAUAUAUAAUAUGUCAUUUCAGUCAGUGAGAAGGAUGUUGCUGCUUUGCAUGAGGACAGACAUGUGGGUUCACCAGUUGAAGGAAGGAAGUCAUUCUAGAUUAGUGGUCAAGAGCAUAGGUCAUAUAAGUGGAGGCAAAUAAUGCUACAAUUCUUUUAGUAUAUUUCUUGGCAUGAGUAUGUCUCAUGUACUAGUUGGGACAUACUUAUACUAAAAAAAGUAUUUGUUAUUUAUCUGAAAUUCAAAUAAAUUUAACCUAACUGGACAUCUUUUUUUUUAACAACCCCAAUUCAGUUCUGCCUGCCCCAUUUUUAUACUGUUAUUUUUUGGGCAGUAAUUCCUAAAGAGGUGAAGAGAUCAUUUUCCAAGAGUCAUGUGGGUUUGGCUCUUUCUAGCUGAUCUAUAAGGGAAAAUCUUAACUUUUUCCAUAAACUUCUCCAUUAAAAUAGAGGAUAACUCCGUUGUUAAGAAUUGAUGGGCUUCCCAAGACAACACUUAUAGGCAGAGCAAAAACUAUCAUGCAAACACUGAUCAAGUGAGAUCAAGAUUGUGUGCAUGACCUUUACUGAAAUACAGUUCUACAUGGGAUCAUGUCUGCUGGAGGAAGGUUUCUGUUGGCAGGCCUAGCAUUUGUCCCUCAGCAAAGACCUUUACAUUUAUCACUGACAUCAAGGAAGACAUGAUGAGCAGAAAUAUUUGAUGUAUUGAUGGCGUGUUUUUCUGGUUGAUACUUCUGAUAACAGAUUCAAGAAUUAAAAAUAAUUUGGUAGACUGAAAUGGUAGGCUGAAUUAUCAGCAAUUAACAUAAUAGGAACAGUGGUUAGAUUCCGUACCUGGCUCCAAACAGUGAGCUGCACUUGGUAAAUUUGUGGGGAUCCGUGACUUAGAAUCAUAAAUAAAAGCAGGAGUUAGCAUUCAAAUUUACUUGUAAGGCCACCGUGUUGUCUUAGUGGUUUUCUUUUCUCUCUUUCUAAAUAGUAGGCCUUUGAGUGAGGAGGUUUUACGAGGUGUUAGCAUGGCUGACUCAAAUGAUUCUAGAGGCAUGUUUUCAGUUGUGUGGAAAAAGAGCUCACAACUAUUUAUGUAAAGUCCAUCUGGUGUCAAGGCCUGGGUGCUAUUUGGAUAAAUGAAACACAACUAUUUCCCAACAUGCUUUCCUAGCACUGGGUGGUUAAGAAAAAUGUUAAAGUGACCUACAUGGAAAACAACUCAGAACAUUCUGAGUCUUGACCCAGUGCCUCUUCAGCUUGAGGUUAUAUCAGAAUCACCUACGGCUUCACUUAAACAGUGAGCUCCCCUCUCAGAGUUUUUGACACAGAAGGUCAGGAAUGGGGCCCAAGAACUUGCAUUUCUAAAGACUUCUAACAAUGGUGAUGCUGCUGGUCCAGGAUCUUACUUUGAGAACCACUGCUGUAGACCGUGAAGUUCAUAUUAAAAAGUUCCUGCCCUAACUAUGAAAGUCUGUGACCCUGACAAAUACUGGGGACAAAAAUUGAGAAUAGAUAGCAUUGAUUCUACUUGUGUGUAUUAUCCCCCCAAAGGGGCAGACUUGUGAAGGUUUAGGGCAAGGAUAGAUGGGGAUGGGGAGGUGUGGUCAAUCCAUUUGCCCCUUGGGUAUCAAGUUCUCUGGAUCUUCACUGAUUCCCCUGAGAAUUCGCCUUUGAAGUAUAUGGCAACAUAGUGCCAAGAGAAGAGAUGCUUCUUCAUCAAGGCCUCUCUGCCAUGACCUCAGCAUGGCAUUACCAUAACCAAAAUGGUGCCCAUGAUGGUGUUCAGAUUCUUUCAAGGCGUCAUGUACCAUUGAACAGGUGACAACCAUGGGGUUCUCAGUUCUGUUUUGUUAAGAAAAUAAAAAUAAUAAGUGGCAUUAAACUAAUUCCAUAAAUGCCCGUUCCCUGCUGAUAGGGUGGCCACAUUCAUUGCUCCAUUGCUUUGUGGGUUGUUUUUUUUUGUUUUUUGUUUUUUGUUUUUCCUGGAGUGGCUAUAAUACAAGCCAUGAUUCAUGCAAUGUGCCAGCCUCAGAGAUAUCAAGACCCAUUUGCAUAAAUAUCCACAAUCAUGUUUCUAAAGCUGUUUCCUUAUUUCCCUUUGUUGCUGUUUUCCUUUUCAUUGAGGUCAGUUGAAAUAGUCUUGAAUUGAGGCUAUUCUUACACACACACACACACACACACACACACACACACACACACACACUAUAAUUGAAUUAUAAAUUCCAUGAGAACAGAAUCAACACCUGUUUUCUCAGAGAGCUAUUUCUAACCCUAAUGAAGUACCUUACACAUGGUAGCUAUACAAAAUCUGUGACUGACUGAAUGAAUAAAUAUGUAUAUCUUUGCAAGCCAGUGAUCUUGGAGGUUACCCACUGAUCCUCCAUGUGUUGUUAUCUCUGAAUGCACAGGAACUUUGUUCUUCCUGUGAACCAAAUGCAGAUCCUGAGUUAAGCCUUACUAACAUUUACCUGUUCCCUUCUAAAGCUAUUUUGUAGCAAAGACAGUAUUUCGAUUGUUUAUAGAUUUAACGUUGUAUAUUCAUUGAUUAUAUCUACCACAUUUAUUUUUAAAGGUUUUUAAAUAGUUUAUUAAAGUACAAUUGCACAAAGGUAAAUGAUUUUAAAACACAUAAAACACAAUAUGGAAAAAGAGUAGAGGGAUAUAAUUUUUAAUAUUUAGUACCAAAUUUGCUUUGAGUUUCCACAUAACCGUGGGAAAAGAUGGAAAUGUGUUGCCUUACAUAGUUCUCAUUGUUUGGAUAAAGAAGAGAGAGAGAGAAGAAGCAUGCUACAUAAUGGGAAGACACAAUUUUUCCAUUUGCGUAUAUGUCUGGUAGGAAUGUGUCUUAAGAGUCUUUAUGGAAAAGAGCUCUUGAGUUAUACAAGGAAUAGCUUUUUCAACAGCUAUUUUGCCAGAGGUAUAAAAACUUUCUUCUCCUGGUUUACUUUGUAUAUCUUACCUCAGUAAAGACAUGAAAAGGAAUCCUGAUAAGGUGAAUGCAUUCCCACAGAGAGCUAAGCUUCCUGGUGAUCAGACUUGAUUCAGGAAGAGCACUCAAUGAGCUGAGAGGAUUAAAUGAUCAAUGUUUCUUUUAGAUUAGCCCUCUCAGAUAUCAAUGAUCACCAGCCUUAGAGGAGAUAAUGAGGCAAUUUCAAUACUGAGCAUUCCAGAGUGUCUCAAGUAUGGGAAGUCCGUGUGGUUAGGUUAGGAAGAUGGCUCAACGCCAACAUAACAUGGCCGGCCCCAGCACUGGCCUUCUGUCAGGACACGGCUAAGGCCCCGGUCCCUGGUCCAGUGGGAACACAUGAGAUGACUUUGUGUGUUUUUAAAAACAAUUUUAAAUGUUUAUUUUAUGUAUUUUGAGAGAAAGAGAGAGAGUGUGAAGGGGGUGGUGCAGAGAUAAAAGGAGCUAAAGAGAGUGAAUCCCAUGCAGGCUCUGUACCAUCAGCACAGAGUCCAAAUGAUGAGAUCAUGACCUGAGUUGAAAUCAAGAGUAAGACGCUUAACUGCCUGAGCCAUCCAGGCCCCCUGGCUUUGUGUGUGUCUUAAUCAGGGUUCCCAAGAAGAAACAGAGAUGUGAGUGCAGGUCCUUUCUUAAGGGGGCUCAGGGGGCAUCAGAAAUGGAUAGGAGACAGGAAAGACAGGCAGUGUAAGGUCCCAUACUGAGCCAUGGUAGGUAACUAAAGAUUAACCCCGUAAGAAAACUCUAGAAAUGAGGUAGACGGCAUGCCUCAGAGUUGUCCCACCUGGGGAAAGAGGGAAAAAGAGUAUUGAUACAUCAAUUCUCUUUAGUUGACUGUACUUCAACUCAACCAGUUGAGGGCUACUCCCGUGAAAAGGGUGUUAAUUCCAGAGCACUUCGCACCAGAGGGGCUUUAACACUGGCCAAGCAAUCUUCUGUGGGUCUGAGGAAAGUCCUCAAACACAGAGCUACAGACCCUGCCAUCAGAAGACUGGAGCACGGUGAAAUGGAGUAGGGUCUGAGAUAGUUGGCAAGACACUGGCAGCUUCUCUGGUGUAGAAGUCACCUUUAAACAUUUUUAUUUUAUUUUUGAGAGAGAGAGAGAGAGAGAGAGAGAGAGAAAGCAUGAGCAGGAGAGGGACAGAGAGAGAGGGAGACACAGAAUCCGAAGCAGGCUCCAGGCUCUGAGCUGUCAGCACAGAACCCGACACGGGGCUCAAACUUGUGAACCGCGAGAUCAUGAUGUGAGCCGAAGUCAGUUGCUUAACUGACUCAGCCACCCAGGCGCCCCUAGAAGUCGCCUGUAGAAGAGAGUGAGCACAGUAUUAAAUAGCUCCGAGUGCUUCAGUUCUCUGUCAGAUGAAUGAGCAAAUUUGUCUCUAUCUUCGCCUCAAGUAGAAAGACUCACCAUAGUCUCUGUGUAUUUUUAACACCUCUCUGUGCUUGCUAAUUAUUUUUUUACUUAUUUUUUUUUUUACGGAACAGAAGGUAAACUCAAGAUCAUUAUUUUUUGCAAGCACCAUUAUCUAGUUAGGGAUGCCCUAACACUGUUUUGUUUCCACUGGGAUUUCUCCUUAAGCAUACCUUCUAUUUGUGUGCCCCCAUGUUGCUUUUCUAUGUACAGUAGUGAUAUGGUUUCCUUUUUAAAUGAAUGUAUGUAAGUAAAAAAAAAUAAAAGUCAAUGUGCAGAAAAAAAUUAAUGACAUUAAAAAUAUAUCUAGUGAUGUGCUGGUAUAUGUUUGGAAACUGGCUCUCUGGGGAAGAAAAAAUCCAUAAUUUGUAGUGUUGGCCUAUUUCUGGGGUGUAAAUACUCCCACUAUGACUCAAGACAGAAAUAGCUACCAACACACCACCAGAUAUACAUAAUUGGUUCUCACAAGCUGGGAUUAGUGGGCCCCAGCACAUUUCCAGGCACCACCCGGAGAUACAGGCUCACAAAGUUCACGUGCCAUUCACAAAUCACUUCAUGAGCAAAAUGAAGGGCAGAACUCGUAUUAUCUUUCAGAUGUUUAAAAAAUUUGGUACUUAGGUGAGUCACAGGUGCACCAGCUGACAGAACAGUAAUAAUAACUCAUGCGUGUUCUUAAACCACCGUUCAGGUGAGAUCCUGGAGUACAGACUCUCAGGUACACGAUUGAUGAUUUCACCCUAUGAGAAGGAAAACAUUCAGUGUUCCCAGACUCCUCCAUAACUGUUGUUGCCUUCUGGUUUCCUGCGGAACGGGUGUUAUUAAGAAACAUUUCCUUCCCUCUGGUUCCCGUGAACUACAAUGUUUAGUCCCAGGUCCCUGAAUGUCUGAACUUAGUUUACCCAUUUCUCAAGUUGUUUGUUACUUGCAGUGUUGAUAACACGUAUGAGCCUGUGGCUAAUGCGGGUGUAUUUCACUCCACUGUAGGUAGGAUGCUAAGCCUAACAUUUGGGAAUGAAGAUCUCAGCAAAAACCCUACUUUGGACAUAUAUGUUGCCUUGAACAAAUUACCCUCUUUUUUUAUAUAUAUACCUGUAAAAUGAAGGUGGUAAAAUUAACAACCAACUUAUGAAGUCAUCCUGAAGCUAGAGUGAGCAGCUGAACCUCACUGCUUGUGUAAUGGUAAAGAUGGGUACAAACCUUAACAGUUCUAACUGUGGUUAUUUGCCUUAUUACUCUUUACCCCACAGAUCCAUGUGGGUUUUGUUAUCAGUUUAGUGCACUGUUCUAGUUUCUUUGUUUUGUUUUGUUUUGUUUUUUAAUUCCAGAUUUGACUCAGGUGAGGUUGGCAUAGCACCAGAUCUUUCUGGCUUCCCUCACCUUAGCUGGCUCCUGCUUCACACAUCUUUCAAGAUGUUUGUAGAAAACUAAUCAGCAUCUAUGUUUGUUUUCUAAUUUUCUUUUGCUCACACAUACCAUGGCCACUUGAUUAGCAAUCAGCACUGUGUUGGCAGUUACAUACAGGCCCCGCUCCUCCUAAUCAGGGAUGUAGGAAGCAAACGCUGGUGUUUAAAGGGAACCCUUUUUUGAGCUCUUGUCCCAUGACUCCUAAUUGUUGUAGUUCUCAAACUCAACCCAGCUGCACACUUUAUUAGGGAAACAUUUAUUCAGAUAACAAGCCUUGGGUAUGAAAGAGGAGUAAUUAUUUUGGAAAUGCAUUUGAAUCGUUGUAUGCCAUAGUGCAACUCAUGUUCCAAAUGGAGAAGGUGCACAUUCGGGCAGAAAUGUUGCUUUGUAGAUGGACAAUACCGCAAGCAUGUGACUGGGAGUUGCUGGCAAAUGAUAGAAAAAUGGACAAAUGAAAAGACGCCAGCAAAAUAAGAGGUAAAAAGCGAUCGAAACUCUGAAAACUGACCAACAUGAAUGAAAUGCCUAAAUUUCAUUCAUGAACUCUUUCCUUCUUUCUCUCUCUCUCUUCUGUUCUUGCUGUCUCUUUGUUUCUUUCUUCCUUCCUUUCUCCCUCCCU